UAAACAUGGGAGCAUAGCAUGAUUACAUGACUAAGAUCAUGAGUUGAGGGAUUUACAUGAAAUUCUCUUAAAAUAGGACAUGGGUGUUUCAUAAAAACAUGUAAAGAUCAUAGCUUGAACAUAAGAAUGUCUUAAACAUGAUGGAACAAUAUAAUUACAUAGAAAUAUUCAUAACUUAGGGAUUCAUCUUCAAAUUGAUUGAACAUAUUAUGGGAAUUUCAUCAAACAUGUGGAAA
rnacentral:lncRNA from 1 species